GCCCGGGCGGCGGCGGCUCUCGGGUUCUCCGUAGGGCCCCGCCUCGGAGCGGGCGGCGGCGGAGGAGGAGACUGAGGAGCAGGAUGGCGGCCUCGGCCCUGUACGCCUGCACCAAGUGUACCCAGCGUUAUCCUUUCGAGGAGCUCUCCCAGGGCCAGCAGCUCUGCAAGGAGGCAGGGGACGGUUUUUGCACUUUCUUGCUAGGAACCCGAAGCCGCAAAGCUGAUGGCAUCCUUCUUCCCUGUCCAGGAAAGCGAAGCGACUGGUUUGGGAACAGAAUGCUCUGAUUUGGAGCUCCUCCCAUCCCAUUAAAGCCUGGAUGCUGUCUGUGAGCAACGGUGCAAAAUAAUAAGUAGUUUCACAUUUAACCAAUCCUUGAAAUAGGCCCUGACAGCUUUCUUAAUUUGUCUGUAAUAUACCCCCACGUCUACUAAAGACAAAGACACCUGUGCCUUCCCUAAGGAAUUAUAUUGUGAUUGGCCACUUAUAUGAUAAAGCAUCCAGUUCUUUACGUUGGGGCCAGGUUUUAUAAAUGUUUUAGACUUUCACUAGGUUGGGUAAACAGUUUUCUACCAGAAAAGUGAGAUUUGGGACUUUCAGAAAGAUACUGACUAAUGUAUUGUCUUAUUACAGGAAUGUCGGAUUGCACAUCCUAUUGUAAAAUGUACUUACUGCAGAUCAGAAUUUCAACAAGAGAGCAAAACUAACACAAUUUGUAAGAAGUGUGCUCAAAAUGUGAAGCAAUUUGGGAC
rnacentral:lncRNA from 1 species